rnacentral:rRNA from 1 species
GUAAAGGCAAAAGAGAGCUUGAUUGCAAGACAUACAGGUCGAGCAAGGAUGAAAAUCGGACUUAGUGAUCCGGUGGUUCUGCGUGGAAGGGCCAUCGCUCAACGGAUAAAAGCUACCCUGGGGAUAACAGGCUUAUCUCCCCCAAGAGUCCACAUCGACGGGGAGGUUUGGCACCUCGAUGUCGGCUCAUCACAUCCUGGGGCUGUAGUAGGUCCCAAGGGUUGGGCUGUUCGCCCAUUAAAGUGGUACGCGAGCUGGGUUCAGAACGUCGUGAGACAGUUCGGU